AUGGAAUUGUGAUCGGAGUUGAUGCUGGCAGCUUGCUUGGCUGCAUGUGCUCGCUCCUAACAAUCUUUAUCCAAACACCUGUGCACAUUUAGAGAGAGGGAGAGAUUUCCUUGGAGUCUCUUGCUCUUAUUUACACACUUUAGUUUAAUAUUGAACGUGAUUGUGCCGUGAGGCCUUAAUAUUAAUA
rnacentral:misc_RNA from 1 species